CCUACGGGGUGCAGCAGUGGGGAAUAUUGCACAAUGGGCGAAACCCUGAUGCAGCGACGCCGCGUGAGUGAAGAAGGAAUUCGUUAUGUAAAGCACUAUCAGCAGGGAAGAAAAUGACGGUACCUGAGUAAUAAGCCCCGGCUAACUACGUGCCAGCAGCCGCGGUAAUACGUAGGGGGCAAGCGUUAUCCGGAUUUACUGGGUGUAAAGGGAGCGGAGACGGCAGUGCAAGUCUGGAGUGAAAGGCGGGGGCUCAACCCCCGGACUGCUCUGGAAACUGGACGGCUGGAGUGCAGGAGAGGUGAGUGGAAUUCCUGGUGUAGCGGUGAAAUGCGGAGAUAUUAGGAGGAACACCGGUGGCGAAGGCGGCUUACUGGACUAUAACUGACGUUGAGGCUCGAAAGCGUGGGGAGCAAACAGGAUUAGAUACCCGUGUAGUC
rnacentral:rRNA from 1 species